rnacentral:tRNA from 1 species
GCGCCCAUAGCUCAACUGGAUAGAGCGUCUGGCUACGGACCAGAAGGUUGGUGGUUCAACUCCUCCUGGGCGUA